rnacentral:rRNA from 1 species
ACAUAGCUUCUAGAUAAGGGUCUUAGGCUUGAGGGAUUAGAAGUGAUGCCUGCCCAAUGGUUGUAUCUAAAUUUAAAUAAUAAAAGAAGUAAUUUAAUUAAAGACAAUUGAAUGGCCGCGGUAACUCUGACCGUGAUAAUGUAGCGCAAUAAAUAGCCAAUUAAUUGUUGGCACGUAUGAAUGGCUUAACGAAUACCCUACUGUCUCAAGAUAAAAACCAGUGAAAUUGAAGUUGUAGUGAAAAUGCUACGUAUAAAUUGUAAGACGAGAAGACCCUGUUGAGCUUUACUGGAGGUUUUUAUUGUUUUCCAAAAAUAAGGUGUAGAUUAUGUGGGAACAAAUGAAAAUUCCACAACUUGUAUGCAAGAAAACCACCCAUUUAUGGGGGAAGUUUAAGUUGGACAGUUUAGUUGGGGCGACUGCCUUCUAAAGAGUAACGGAGGUGAACAAAAGGUGAGGAAUGAAAUAGAAUAAAGGAAAAGCCUGACAGUGAGGAGGACUUCCAAGCUGACACGGUUAAAAAUUGAUACCGUGGGUUAUAGUGACCCGUUAGUUAAGAGUGGGAUUGCUAACGAGCAACGAAUAAAAGUUACCACAGGGAUAACAGCGUAAUAUUGUUUGAGAGUUCUUAUCGAUGACGAUGUU